rnacentral:lncRNA from 1 species
AAAAAGAGAGAAGGAAAGAGAAAAGAAAAUUAAAUUCCUUUAAAAACAUGUAUAUAAAAAUCACAUUUUCUCAUAUUGAGCGGGGACUUUCACCGAGGCAAUUACUGCAGUUGCUCCCAUUGUCUCUCCCAGUGAGCUCUGGUUCGCUCUGCCUUCUCCUCCUCCUGCCAUGCAGACCCAUUGAGCUCUGCCCCACCAUGGACGGAGCCACCGGGGCCACCUUCUGUCCCACAGAGCCCCCAGCCCCACCUUCUGCCUCCGCCCCCCCAGCUGUGUGCCCCCCUAUGGGGCUGCUGCAGCUGAACAUCGAGGCCGUGCCACGGUGGCUCUCUGCUCUGAGCCCCCACCUCGGCAGCACAAUGCGGGGGGGUUCCGAGCUGCUCUUCCGCUCUCACACAGCCUCUUCUCUCUGCUUUCUGCUCCUCUGCAGCUGCGUCUCCCCCGAACGUGGUGGACAGACCCUGCCUCAAGCUGAAGGUUUACGUUCGGCCGACGAACGAUUCCCUCUAUGAGUCCCCAGAGCCCAUCUUCACCAGCAACAACUCGUGCUGCAGCCUUGCAGUGCCGCGUGCCGUGCUGGUGGCUGCGCCGGUCUUCUGGACUCUGCUGGGCUCCUAGCGCCGCGGGACGGACGGACGGACGGACGGGACGGGACAGCCUCAGCACCACCACGGGACAGAACUGGGGCUGCACCACUGCCAGGAGCCUCACUGCACCCUGCCCGACCACAUCCUGCCCUGCACUGCAGCAGGGAAUGGGGACCCCGCCGUGCGCACGGAUUGCGCCCAUCCCCGCGGCAGCGACCCUCCCGUAGGAUGCUGCUUUUUACAUUUCUAGACCAAAUAUAGAGUCCUGUUGGGUGGUUUUUGGUUUUGGUUUUUGGU